rnacentral:lncRNA from 1 species
CCGCACAUCAAAAAGCCUCCGAACGCCUUCAUGCUCUUUCUGACGGAGCACAGGAAGUCUGCGGAGGAGGAGCUGGGCGUGAGAAGCAGUGCUGCGGUUAACAAAUUCCUCAGUGAACGGUAUAAAAUGUUGUCAGAAAAGGAGAAAGAGAAGUACACUACUAAGGCCAAAGAGCUAACUUCUCUCCACUCCAUUGAGAACCCCGGGUGGAGCAACAAAAUCAACUACGUAAGUCUACUUUGCAGACAUGUUGACAAAGCAACCUCAAAGGUGACGUGAAAGUGUUUGAUCAGCUGACACAGUUUCAUGUGUUUGUUUUUAGGGAACGAAAAGGAAACGAAAUUGGGCAAAAGACAGAAACAUGGACACUUCAAAGAAGCGAACUGGGGAUGGAAGUGGUCCAGUGGGGUAUUCCAUAAAGGCGGAUAAACAAACUCUGAGUCUAUCCAUAAACUCUGGGUCAACAUACCCCGCGAUGGGAACUCUGGGUAUCGGAUUCCAUUAAAGCUGGUAUGAAGUGGGUCAAUCAACCCCGAGUAUGUAAACCUUGGGUUACUUAUGUGCACGCGCGUGAUAAAAAGCCAUCAUCAAUGGCUCAAAGAAUACUCAAACUGCCAUGACAAACCAAUGAUCUACAUCUACAAUGUUAUAAAGAAAAUUAUCGUUAUCACAAAAAAAAAAAAAAAAAAAAAAAAAAAGACGUAAAGCAACACAACAUUAGUAAUGAUGUGAACACGUCUGUGGUGUGUGAUGUCACUAAUGUGUUUCAGAGAAAAGUGUUAAGGUAAAUUGAAGUGUGAAGAAACGGUGAUCAGGUGGGCGGAGCCAGGUAGAAACCCAGGGUUUCUUUGAUAAAACAUGCCAGCGACCAGGUUUAGUUCACGGACAUGUUUCCCGGGUAACAUACUCAAAGAAGAACAUACCUCGCUUUUUGGAAUGGGAUACUCAGAGUUUCCCUCAUUUGAGCCUGAACAUACUCAGAGUUUGAACAUAACCCGCUUUAUGGAAUACCCCUCAGGAGUCAUUGAGUGACCGCCCCACUUCAUGCACGGUGUGGGGAGCCAGCCAGCCGCCAACACAAGUUUCAUGUCCCUUGAUAAAACAAACUGCUUUUGUAUUGUUUUGGACCAUAAUCAUGUAUUAAAAAAUAACUUGAACCUUUAAGCAGCCUACAGUAAAAUAAUU